CGAACGCUGGCGGCGUGCUUAACACAUGCAAGUCGAACGAGAAAAUUUCCUUCGGGAAAUGAGUAAAGUGGCGCACGGGUUAGUAACACGUGGACAACCUACCUCUAGGCGAGGCACAACCUAUCGAAAGACGGGCUAAUACCUCAUAAGACCACAGAAUCUUCGGAUUUCGGGGUAAAAGGUGACCUCUAUUUAUAAGUUAUCACCAAGAGAUGGGUCCGCGUCCCAUUAGCUUGUUGGUAGGGUAACGGCCUACCAAGGCUCAGAUGGGUAGCUGGUCUGAGAGGACGAUCAGCAACACUGGAACUGAGACACGGUCCAGACUCCUACGGGAGGCAGCAGUGGGGAAUAUUGGACAAUGGGCGAAAGCCUGAUCCAGCAACGCCGCGUGAGUGAUGAAGGCCUUCGGGUCGUAAAGCUCUGUCAGAGGGAACGAAUUAGGAUGACCCAAUACGUCAUCUGAUGACGGUACCCUCAAAGGAAGCACCGGCUAACUCU
rnacentral:rRNA from 1 species